rnacentral:rRNA from 1 species
CCCUUAGAUGUUCCGGGCUGCACGCGCGCUACACUGAAGCUAUCAACACGUUUUCCCUCCCUGAGAAGGGCGGGUAACCUUUUGAAUCAGCUUCGUGGUAGGGAUCGGGGCUUGCAAUUGUUCCCCGUGAACCAGGAAUUCCUAGUAGACGCGAGUCAUAAGCUCGCAUCGAUUAAGUCCCUGCCCUUUGUACACACCGCCCGUCGCUACUACCGAUUGAACGUUUUAGUGAGGCAUUUGGACCGACGCAUCUCAGUUUAACCGCUGGUUUGUGUUGGAAAGACUUCCAAACUUGAGCGUUUAGAGGAAGUAAAAGUCGUAACA